CCUACGGGUGGCAGCAGUGAGGAAUAUUGGUCAAUGGACGAGAGUCUGAACCAGCCAAGUAGCGUGAAGGAUGACUGCCCUAUGGGUUGUAAACUUCUUUUAUAUGGGAAUAAAACGUUCCACGUGUGGGAUUUUGUAUGUACCAUAUGAAGAAGGAUCGGCUAACUCCGUGCCAGCAGCCGCGGUUACACGGAGGAUCCGAGCGUUAUCCGGGUUUAUUGGGUUUAAAGGGGGCGUAGGUGGGUUGUUAAGUCAGUUGGGAAAGUUUGCGGCUCAACCGUAAAAUUGCAGUUGAAACUGGCAGUCUUGAGUACAGUAGAGGUGAGGGGAAUGCGUGGUGUAGCGGUGAAAUGCUUAGAAAUCACGAAGAACUCCGAUUGCGAAGGCAGUUCACUGGACUGCAACUGACACUGAGGCUCGAAAGUGUGGGUAUCAAACAGGAUUAGAUACCCGGGUAGUC
rnacentral:rRNA from 1 species